rnacentral:rRNA from 1 species
GAUGAACGCUGGCGGCGUGCCUAAUACAUGCAAGUCGAGCGAACGGACGAGAAGCUUGCUUCUCUGAUGUUAGCGGCGGACGGGUGAGUAACACGUGGAUAACCUACCUAUAAGACUGGGAUAACUUCGGGAAACCGUAGCUAAUACCGGAUAAUAUUUUGAACCGCAUGGUUCAAAAGUGAAAGACGGUCUGGCUGUCACUUAUAGAUGGAUCCGCGCUGCAUUAGCUAGUUGGUAAGGUAACGGCUUACCAAGGCAACGAUGCAUAGCCGACCUGAGAGGGUGAUCGGCCACACUGGAUCUGAGACACGGUCCAGACUCCUACGGGAGGCAGCAGUAGGGAAUCUUCCACAAUGGGCGAAAGCCUGACGGAGCAACGCCGCGUGAGUGAUGAAGGUCUUCGGAUCGUAAAACUCUGUUAUUAGGGAAGAACAUAUGUGUAAGUAACUGUGCACAUCUUGACGGUACCUAAUCAGAAAGCCACGGCUAACUACGUG